CCUACGGGAGGCAGCAGUGAGUAAUAUUGGUCAAUGGGCGUAAGCCUGAACCAGCCAAGUCGCGUGAGGGAUGAAGGUUCUAUGGAUCGUAAACCUCUUUUAUAAGGGAAUAAAGUGUGGGACGUGUCCUGUUUUGUAUGUACCUUAUGAAUAAGGAUCGGCUAACUCCGUGCCAGCAGCCGCGGUAAUACGGAGGAUACGAGCGUUAUCCGGAUUUAUUGGGUUUAACGGUUGCGUAGGCGGCCUUUUAAGUCAGCGGUGAAAGUCUGUGGCUCAACCAUAGAAUUGCCGUUGAAACUGGGAGGCUUGAGUAUGUUUGAGGCAGGCGGAAGGCGUGGUGUAGCGGUGAAAUGCUUAGAUAUCACGCAGAACCCCGAUUGCGAAGGCAGCCUGCCAAGCCAUGACUGACGCUGAUGCACGAAAGCGUGGGGAUCAAACAGGAUUAGAUACCCGAGUAGUC
rnacentral:rRNA from 1 species